GGAUGAACAAAACAGACCUACAAUGGACAUUAGCAAAAGUAAAGGAAAGACAGGAGCCCUAUACCAUUUGCAUUACUGGAAUAGCAAAGAACAUUGUGCUAUACUUACACUGACAAUUGCUGGACAGAGUCAUUGUGAAAUGCACGUGUGGGACGACAAGAUUACGGAGAG